GGUAAUUUGACCGUGCAAAGGUAGCAUAAUCAUUAGUUUUUUAAUUGAAAGCUGGAAUGAAAGGUUGGAUGAGAAAAAAGCUGUCUCUAUUUAAUUUAUUUAGAAUUUUAUUUUUAAGUUAAAAAGCUUAAAUUUGGAUAGAAGACGAGAAGACCCUAUAGAGUUUUAUUAUUUUUAUUUUAUAAAAAUAAUAGUAUUUUUUAUUUUUGUAGAAAAAAUUAAUUUGGUUGGGGUGAUUGAAAAAUUUAAUUAACUUUUUUUUUACGGUUACAUUUAUAUAUGAAUAUAUGAUCCUUAAUUUGAGAUUAUAAGAUAAAAUUACCUUAGGGAUAACAGCGUAAUUUUUUUUGAGAGUUCUAAUCGAAAAAAAAGAUUGCGACCUCGAUGUUGGAUUAAAAUAAAAUUUUGGUGUAGAAGCUAAAA
rnacentral:rRNA from 1 species